CAGGAAGUGAGAUUGUGGCGCCUGUGUCAUGGGGAAGCUGAGUCCCAGUGUGCAUGGGGAUGUGAAAAGCCACAGGGAGUGUGACCUUGAGUCAACCAGAAAUAACAUGUGUAGAAAAAGCAGACUUGAGAAGGAAAUGGUGAAGACACGAUGUGGUUUGCCUACUGGAUGUGACAAGUGGAGUUUCAAAGUCAGGCCAACCAACACUUUCCCCUGGAGACAUUUCACUGCAGGCUUGGGUGAAAGGACUGGAUCUGGGGAGCUAAUGAACCUGAAGCCCUUGGAAAAACGAGCUCCAAAACAACCUGCUGUUGCCUGGACCUGCAUCAUCUCAGAUCACAUGGCAGUCAACGAGGAACAGGAGAAAAAGUGCAAGAGGAACAAUCUGAGGACGGGUGAAGGAAGCCAGUGUUAGUGACGUAACUCACACAGGUUCCGCCUGCAAUGUGACAUGGAUCUCCAUUCUUACUUUUUAAACAAGCAAAAGCCCCGCUGCCCUGAUUACUGGACCCCACACUGAACUUGGACUCUGCUGACUGGUAA